rnacentral:rRNA from 1 species
AUGGAUGAUCAGAAGGAAGAAGAUGAGGCUGAUUGGGACCAGAAUGGUCCAAACCAUGAUCUGGAGGACGUGUUUGAGAAUCUUAAGCUGCAAGGAGAGGAGGAGGAAGAUCUGGAUUUGUCCGGGGAGUUUGAAGAGUUGAUCAAGGACGUACGCUGGAUGGCGCUGUUUAGGGUUCACACCCUACGGCCGUUUAGUCAUGCCUCUCUGUUGAACUCCAUGAGGAACGCGUGGGCUUGUGCACAGGGGGUGACUUUCAACAUAAAGGGCCCCAACUUGUUCUUGGCUCAGUGCCAUUGUUUAGGAGAUUGGAAGCGUGUGAUGGAAGGGGGACCAUGGCAGUUCAGGAGGGAUCCGGUGGUGUUGGUAGAAUAUGAUGGCUUCUCGGACGUGAAAGAAUAUGAUCUGAACAUGUAUCCAUUAUGGGCUAGGAUAAAAGGUUUGCCAGACGGAUUGACGAGGAAGAAGGAGUUGGCUGAGAAGGUGGCAAAGAAGGUAGGAAAACCUCCGUUUACAGUGACUGUGAAUGAAGGAAAGAUCAAUCCGUCAAACUUCUUGAGAGUUCGGGUGUUUGUUAAUGUAACUCUGCCAUUAGUAAGGUUUGUUCAUAUUACCUUGAAGGAGAGGAAGAGGUAUUCGGUGUACUAUGAAAAACUACCUGAUUUCUGCUACUUUUGUGGUCGUAUGGGACAUGUUGUGGAGGAGUGUGGCGAUGGAGUGCAUGAUAGUGCGUUAUGUGAAUGGGGGACUGGUUGCAUUGGGUCAGCGAGCCGGUGGGCUCGGGUACACGAGGAGGUAGAGGAGGAAGGGGCGAUGGAGGGAGAGGGAGUGCUGGCCCUGCUGACGGGGGUCGAGGAGGAAGAAGGGGAGGUAGAGGUGGAGGAGCUAGAGGAGGUAGAGCAUAUGCUGCACAGGAGAGGGUUGAUGUUGAUAUUCAGAGAGAGGGAGGAGUGGAGCUGUCGGUGGGGAUGGAUAUCUUGCAAUAUAAGAUGA